rnacentral:lncRNA from 1 species
AAAACCCUGUGACAAUGAUAAAGUUUUCAUUUCUUUAAGUUUCCACUUUUGAUUCAAUAUGCAUUUUUUAUUUCCUACUAAUUUGAUAGUUCCUUGGGCUUUUUUUUUUUUUAUGCUAGAUGCCUAGUCAAGUGAAAAAGCAUUAAGCAUCCACUAUGUGCUAGGCACAGUGCUAAGCACUCUGAUUUUUUCUAGUCUUGAAUAAUAAUGUACCCUUAACACAUUUUAUUAUAUAUCUCAACUGGAGUGAAAGGAACAGAUUUUCAAUCAAGAGGAAAUUGACAUCAAAUCCAAUCUAAGCUACUUUGGGGACCAGACCAAUCUAAAGGCAGAGAAAAAGGUAAGAGACUAGAUCCCACCUUCUUAAACUGUGUUUUGAGACCUAUUGGAUUUUGUAACUGGAUGUGGGGGUCAUGAAAUUAUGACAAUAUCAGUAAAUAUUUUAUUUGUAUACCUAUUUUAUAUACCUACAUACCUGGGGUCACAUAAAAAUUUCUUAGGUGAAAAGGUGUGAGUGGGAAAAGUUUAAGGAGUCUGAUCUAGACAACGUAAAAAUGGAUUAUUUGGUCCUAACUAGGUCACUACCAAAUGUAGCAUGCUAUAAUUGAAAGAGUACCUGGAUUUGGAAUUUGAGAACUUUAAUUCAAAUCUUAAUUAUGUUUGUUACUUGGAUCAAUGUGGGCAAGUAACUUCUCUGGUUUGUUUCCUCUUCUAUCAAAUAAAGGGGUUAGAGUAUGUGAUCUGUAAGACCUCUUCUGGAUUUAAACCUAUAUUUCUAUAAAUACUCCUAAUUUAUCAUCUUAUUAAAUUUUAGCUAUUAACUAUAACAUGGGUAAAAAUAUGUAACUUUUGACCUUUCUUUUGGCAGAAUGCUGCAACGCUCUUAUGUCAAUUCAUAUUUAGAAAUCAAAAGAGAAAUAUGCAUAUUUGUGAGCACUCCUCCAAAUGUUAACAUUAAUAUUUUUUCUAUAAUGAAAAUAUUUGGGGAAAUAUUAUAUCCUAGUAAUAUAAAAUGUGUAUACCUUCUGACACAUUGUAUUGUUUAAGUAUUCAGAUCAAAUCAAUUUUAAUAAUCCAGAGUUAUAAAUCAGUUUCUUGGAAUGGAUGAUACUAGCACAUUUUUAUAUAGUACUAAUUAAGACAUGCCACAGAACUAUUAGCUCAUUUUCAAUAUAUCUUAGGUUAGAUUUCCUUAUUUCCAGGGAUCAGAUAGGAGUCGAAAAGCACUAAAAUCAGGAGAUAUUGCAGAAUACUUGCUUUGAAGUGGCUUUAUUCUGAUGAAUGUUCUAUGGAAAGUUUUCUGGUAAGGCCCUCAAAAUAAGUCAUAUAGUUCUAGGGCCUUGGCAGAAGCACCUCCACUUCUCCUGACUCAACGUGUCUGUUUCCAUUGGAAAUUGGUUUUCCUCCCUAGGUUCAAGGGAAAGAAUUAUUUUGAUAUGCAGCUUUCAACCAUACUUUUGCUUUUUCAGAUGUCCUAAUUUCUCAUAUCUAUACAGUUUGGGGAAGAAGGGCUAGCUUCUGAUAUUGCACUUUGUAUGAUAUUGCAAUAGUGAAGCAUGAUAAAUGUUUAGAUAUUACAUAAUCUUAUUCACAAAUUGUUUUUUGCAUCAUUUCAUGACAAAAGGAAGAACAGCACUUUUCUAAAAUGAGUGACAACUUUAAAUAGAACUAAUUGAAUUCUCAAACAUUAAGAUGUGUUCUACUGUCUCAAAUUAUUUUUUACAUCAGCACACAUGUUAGUUUUCUGUCACUUCAUGUCCAUUUUGGAUUUUUCAAGUUAAAGGUGAACUAUGAUUAAGAAGAUUGAUGACAUGGAUUUAGGGGAAGAAAUCAAAGAAUAACAUUCCAAUUGUUUCUGAAGAAAUAAUCUCCAUUGAGAUAAGAAAAUUAUUUGCAGAACAAUAUUUAUUUUAAAAAAUAGAAUACAAGGAAGUGGAUUAAUUGAUGAGAUAUGGUACUUGAAUUAGCAAAAGAAUAAUCAAUUUUCUCAAUAUUAUUCUUUUUAACAUAGCUGCUGAUUUAUUCACUUUUAGCAUUGUUCAGAUACUACUUAUCUUGGCAGUUUUCAGAUGUUUCAUAAGGUUAAGAACAUCCGGAUCUUCUCUUCAAAAAGGAAAUAACUAAGAAAGGCAUUUGUUUACAUUGCUAUAACAUUACACUGUAGUUAAUAAUGUUGGUGGGCUUCUUCCUUGGUGCCCAUAUGAACACCAUAUGAGAAGUGAAAUUCUCUAGAACUGAUUCCCAGAGCUUCUGACCAAUCUUGGGGAUUCUGAGGUUUUAUAUGGUAUUGAACUGAAGAAAAGUAGCUUAAGAAAGUUAAAAAGUUGAGCAAAUAAACAGACAUUUGCAUUUUGAUUUCUUAAAAAAUCACUAUCUAAAAGUUGCCAAAACUUCUCAUCAGUCCAAAAGGAUAGAAGAAUAUGGAAUUGAAGGAAGCUGAAUAUGUCCCAAGGAAAAUAAAGAGGAGUGAAUUAUCACGGUAGAUUUACACUGUGUAUAGCAGUGGGUAGGUGAGGAAGAUGAUAAUGGUAAUGUAUGUAAUUUUAAAAAAAUGAGAGAAUCUAGUCUUAGGGUAUGCAAUGCUUCUCCUAAAAUAAACAAAGGUUUUCCCAUCUAAGUCUUCCCUAGAAAAUAUGCAGAAGUAUUGAAGCUGAGUCUUCAAUAAAAUAGGUCUUGUUGACUUCAUAGACAUUUAACAAAAUUCACGGCCAUUAUGCAUUACCUUGUCAGCAAGGAGAGUUCUCUGGAGAUGAAGCUCUGACCAUGCUGAAAGAGAAACAGCAAGACUGGGAUGUGUACCUCCCCCUGAAGCCAAUGCUUAAACUUCUUUUAUGGAAAUACCAAAAUCCUUUCAAUUCCAUGAACUCCUAAUUUUUUUUCCAAGUGCUUUGCUUUAAACUGGCAUUUUUUUUUUUUUCAUUGAAAAACUGAGGGAAAAAAUUCUUUGAAGUUUAUAUUUAUUUUUAAUCCGAUAAGAAUAUAAAGUUUUACAUAUGCCAUUCUAUUUCUGAUACGCAUAAUGCCUUGAAACUUAGCUGUGAACCAUACAGAUGUUCUCCUUACUGAACAAAUCUGACAUGCUUCUAUGGCCCUGAUAAAAACAAACAAACCAUGUUUUGAUUGUGAGCCACAAAAAUCAAGAUUCAUGGAAUAAUCCUGUCUAUUUUUCUUAUAUGCAACAAAAAGAUACACAUAGCUCUCCAUGAAUAUCUAUUUUGCAGAUAAAUUGAAGAUGGAAUUACCAAUUGGAAAGACUUUUCCAUUCUGCCCUCCCAAUCUGCAGAAGAAGUUAGAGUGAUAUUCAGUAAACUUUUUAGUACAUGUGCUAUUUUAGUUAACAGACAGCUCUGGUUUUAUUUUUUACUUUUAGAAAAACAUCAUAAGUUGAAAAGAAGCCUUUUUAAUAAAAAAUGGUAUGGCCACUUCCUGUCUCUUAACAGUCAUACUGUUGUAUAAUAUUUGCCAUAUUACAAUAUCCUUAACCCAGGACAUCCAUCAAUAAAAUAUAAAUGUUUUAUAAAUUGCAAUCUGUUGCUUUUCCCUUGUACACUCUUUACAUAUCUUUUUUUUUUUUUUUUUUUGGUUGUUCCUUAAAUGCUCUGUACAAUCACAUGUAAAACCUCGAGCUAAAACCUCAAUAAAAAAAAGUCAGUAAACAAAGAACAAGUGAUGUCACAUUAUUAUGUAGUAAAAGCAAAGCUUGGACUUCAGGAGUUUCAAAUUAAGCCAUAGUAACAAAGCUUUACAAGAUUUAAAACCAACAUAUUCUUCCUUAUUUCCCUCCUACAUAUAUACAUUUGACAAGAGAAGAGAAAAGUGGGAAAGGCAGAAAUUUUUGAUUUUUUGCCUUUUAUUAUUUUUUAAAUUUUGCUUUAAAAAAAUAAUCAAUUGCUACAACUAGAAUUCAUUGAGCUCAACAUUUGACAAUGGAUGGAACAGAGCUAGAAGUAGUCAUCACUACUUCUCUGCCUUGGCCCAAACUAUCUCUUGGCCAAUGCCUUAUGUAUCUUACUUGUUCAGGUUGGAAAUACAGAGCUACAGUUUAUUUCCAGUUUUUGGGAGUAAAUACAGAAGUGAACUGCUGGCUGGAAAGAUUUUUCUAGUCUUUCUAGGAUCAUAUAUCAUAAGAAAGGACUUUCAAAGGACAUGAAUCCCAACCCUCUAAUUUUGCACAUAAGAAAACUGAGGCUCAGAGGGGCUAUAUGAUUUCUCCAAUGUCUGAAAUAAGGUAGAUUUGAACCUAAAGUGUUAUGCCUACUAUAGCAUGCUAACUUCCUCAAGGCAGUAGCUUGGGGAAAAAAGGUAAUUAGAAAUAUAAGCAUCAACUUUAACAGCCUUCUCCCCCACCUUUCUCUCUAUUUUCUGUGUCUGUCUCCCCUUCCCCCCCCCCACACCCUCGAAGUCAAAUGUUAAAUCAAAAUAUCAAGGAACUUCACCUUUUUAUAUAAGUGAGAAUCUCAAAUAUUAUUGAAAGUUGCUUUAGUUAAUUAUGGACCAGAACUUAUAUACUUGUAUAUUGUUCCCUUCUCUCCCUACCCCAUACUUGGUUAGACUAAAAAUACCAAGGAGAAAGAGGGGAGAAGUUAAUUCAAUAGAUAAGGAAUAUAAUAUAUUAAGAUAUGUUAAUGAGCUAUCAAAAUUAUUUUAUCUAAUAUGAAAAAGUUUGGAGGGCAGUGAUCUCACCUUUAUAAGAGCAUGUGAAAAAAGGAUAAAUACUUUUUAAGGUAAGUACUUAGCAGACAAAGGACCUAAAGGUUGUCCUGGAUGCUACAUUUUGAAUGAAUAGCAUUUGUUCCUUUUAAAUUUUGCAUUGGAAAAAGACAAUGGCAACUAAAUAGGUCUGGGGAAACUGAAGAUCCUUCAAGAAAAGAAGGAUUAUUUUGAGCUCACUCUCUAAAAAUACUAAUUGUAAUUGAUUAGAUGCUUUCUUUCAAAUUAAAAAAAAAAAGUAGGGGAUGCAAUGCCAAAAGUGAGGAGUAGGAAAAAUGUGAUUCAACUGAAAAACAUUUCAUAAAGAUGAGCGAUUUGUAAUAAUCAUUGAAAAGUAGAUUGGAGGC